rnacentral:rRNA from 1 species
GUGCCAGCCGCCGCGGUAAUACGGAGGGGGCAAGCGUUGUUCGGAAUUACUGGGCGUAAAGGGCGAGUAGGCGGCCUCGUAAGUCAUGUGUGAAAGCCCUCGGCUCAACCGAGGAACUGCACCUGAAACUGCGAGGCUUGAGUCCGGGAGAGGGGAGCGGAAUUCCCAGUGUAGCGGUGAAAUGCGUAGAUAUUGGGAGGAACACCGGUGGCGAAGGCGGCUCCCUGGACCGGUACUGACGCUCAGGAGCGAAAGCUAGGGGAGCGAAUGGGAUUAGAUACCCCGGUAGUCC